rnacentral:rRNA from 1 species
AGGACGAACGCUGGCGGCGUGCUUAACACAUGCAAGUCGAGCGGUAAGGCCCUUUCGGGGGUACACGAGCGGUCGAACGGGUGAGUAACACGUGAGUAAUCUGCCCUCCACUUGGAGAUAAGCUUCGGAAACGGGUCUAAUACCUGAUACGACAACUACCUGCAUGGGUUGGUUGUGGAAAGUUUUUUUGGUGGGGGAUGUGCUCGCGGCCUAUCAGCUUGUGGUGGGUAAUGGCCUACAGCCUCGACGGUAGCCGGCCUGAGAGGGUGACCGGCACACUGGGACUGAGACACGGCCCAGACUCGUACGGAGGCAGCAGUGGGAAUAUUGGACAGUGGGCGGAAGCUGAUCCAGCAACGCGCGUGAGGAUGACGGCUCGGUUCGUAACUCUUUACAGUACGACGAAGCGCCGCUGUGGUGGUGACGUAGGUACAGAAGAAGACACCGGCCAACGUACGU